GGUACACACGUCCAAGUAUAUUUCGCGCUAUCUGGUUGUCAAUUGUAGUAUGUGAAAGUGGAGAAUAAUGGAAAUGCUCCCUCGUCUUCUGAGGGGAUGCGGAUGAAGAGUGAGGAUUUUAUAACUGCCUGGACUGGGGGGCUGGAUAGCGUAGUGGUUAGGCGCAAUGCUGCAACUAAUGGGUUCAAAUCCCAAUGUUCAAAACCCCAGAAAGUGGCUGAACUUUCCGAGUAGGCUGACCAGUGAGAUGUAAACUGAAAACUCUUAAUUUAGUCUUGGAAACAAUAGGAAGCAAAACACAAAAUGUGAUUGCCUGCUGCUACCUCAGCGACUUCCACUGAGAUGUCACUACGAAGUAGAUUUCACACAUUGGCAC
rnacentral:sRNA from 1 species